AUUGACCGCUGGCGGCAGGCCUAACACAUGCAAGUCGAACGAGUGGCGGACGGGUGAGUAAUGUCUGGGAAACUGCCCGAUGGAGGGGGAUAACUACUGGAAACGGUAGCUAAUACCGCAUACCAUCGGAUGUGCCCAGAUGGGAUUAGCUAGUAGGUGGGGUAACGGUUCACCUAGGCGACGAUCCCUAGCUGGUCUGAGCGGAUGACCAGCCACAAUGGAACUGAGACACGGUCCAGACUCAUACGGGAGGCAGCAGGGGGGAGUAUUGCACAAUGGGCGAAAGCCUGAUGCAGCCAUGCCGCGUGUAUGAAGAAGGCCUUCGGGUUGUAAAGUACUUUCAGCGAGGAGGCGGUACUCGCAGAAGAAGCACCGGCUAACUCCGUGCCAGCAGCCGCGGUAAUAC
rnacentral:rRNA from 1 species